rnacentral:lncRNA from 10 species
CUCGGCGGCGCGGCCCCGACGGCGGAGCAGCCACCCCGGGCUUCCUCACCGGGCGGAAGGCUGAGAGGAAGAGAGGGCGUGAGGGGCGGACGACUACUUUUGUCUUUCUUUCUUUAGACUAAAAAAGUUAUUUUCGAGACAGGAGGCGGCAGGAGAGAGGAAGAGACGAGCGAUGGCGGCCUGGUCACAUCGCUCGGACCUCCCCAGCUGCCUCCGCCUCCAGCUCCGCAGCAUUCGAAGAUCUCAAUAGCUGCAUUUCCAGCUCCGAGAGGCGAAGAGAUGCAAGCGCCGUGCAGCACCCUUUAUAGUGCCACGAAAAGGAAGUGGCGUAGCUGGAGCGUGAUGGCCGACUCCAGCCAAUCCGAAUAUCGCACCAUUGUGACGCAAGCCGGUUCGGAGCCGAAAGGGGCGGGAAAAGAGUUCAGGAGGCGGGUCCAGAGAUAGGGAAGAGAGGGAGGAGCUGACGUAAUCCGCUUGUAAACAAAUAAACCCGGAGUGGCGGCUGGAGACCCAGUUGCUUGUGUCGAGGGAGGGAGGGAGGGAACAGAGGGUGCGCGUGUGAAAGCUCCGCCCCCAGCCCUAGCUCCUCCUUCCCGCUUCAGCAGGUCCAGGCUCUGCGCCAGUGCAUCCUUCUCCAAGAGUGCGCUGCCUGGGCCCGCUUGCCCUGGAGUGUAAGUGCUGGGUAAAUAAGAACCGCCUGGCGCAGGCUGUGUCUACUCUUCACGCCGCCUUCUCAGAUCGGGCUGCAUGUCCCCACUCCGUGUUUACAUCUCGUUCCCGCUCCGGGUCUCGGUGACUGGCUCCUCAAGCCGGAGACGCGUGUGGUGCGGCGCGAUGCGGGCGCCAGCGCUGUGUGUGCUGGCGGUGCGCUGCCUUAGUGCGGGGGAAAGUGGAGGGAACGGUCCUGCGGGGCGUUCUGUCCAAGAAAAAGGACUGCAGCCUCGGGGAGCCAGGGUCCCCUCGCAGACGAGCUGCCAACGCCGCGGAGCCAUUUCUGUUCCACCCUAGGGGAGGAGUAGGGGGAUAUCUUUUAAAAGUUUAAUUGCAAAAUAAGUAGGUUAGUAAGGCCAUUUGUGGUUGCUGUUUCAGUAACUUCAGCAGUCAACGGAGAGAAGAGUGGAAACCUUACUGGAUGCGGACAGGAGAGCCAGUUACUGAAAGCAGAUAUAACGCGGAUCCUGUAAAGAGUGAAAGGAGAAGACCACUUUUAGUUGCCUCCCUGCUAGCACCCUGACUUGCUCUGCUUGAAUAAGAAUCCAAGGACACAAGCUAAGACAUUUGCACUGGGUUUAGAUCUACUGCGAUUCACAAAACACAAAAGAACUUUCAGUCAGAGGGUGACACAUAAUGAUUUUAGACAAAACUCAGUUUCUUCUGGUGGAAGCUAUUCAGAUUGUUUGGAGAGUGGGAGGAAAAAGGAGUGAAGCAUCGCUUAACAACAAAAGUAAUAAUGCAGGCAGAAUAUUAAAUGGAGAAGCCAGACUUUCAACACAUAGAAAAGAAAGCUAGUUCAGAAUGUUGAGAGACUUGGGAGCUGAUUGAUUGAAGGUGGCACUUAGAAGGUUGCCCUUUUUAAAGAUAAAGGCUGAUACUGUGACUCUGUCCCAGGGGACCUGAGUAAAGAACUCCUCAGAGAUGUGGGACCACUAUUCAGAACAAGAUUUGGAGAGCUGGGGCAGAGAAGAUUUUACCUUGGGGAUUUCUUCAGCUGCGAGUAGUAAAUUGGUUAUGCCUUAAUGAAUGAAGUUUGUCAAAUUUUAAGAUAGGAUGUUAUUACGCCUUUUAAAAGAAUGAGGUAGAGUAUAACAUCUGAUUUGGAGUUCUUUCCAGCAUUUUAAGGUCUUUAAAGAAAACAAAUUGGAGAAAAAUAAAUAAAUAUAGAUCAUGCUGUACAUAUA